rnacentral:rRNA from 1 species
AUUUGAAACUGGCAGGCUAGAGUCUUGUAGAGGGGGGUAGAAUUUCAGGUGUAGCGGUGAAAUGCGUAGAGAUCUGAAGGAAUACCAGUGGCGAAGGCGGCCCCCUGGACAAAGACUGACGCUCAGAUGCGAAAGCGUGGGUAGCAAACAGGAUUAGAUACCCUGGUAGUCCACGCCGUAAACGCUGUCUACUUGGAGGUUGAGGUUUAAGACUUUGGCUUUCGGCGCUAACGCAUUAAGUAGACCGCCUGGGGAGUACGGCCGCAAGGUUAAAACUCAAAUGAAUUGACGGGGGCCCGCACAAGCGGUGGAGCAUGUGGUUUAAUUCGAUGCAACGCGAAGAACCUUACCUACUCUUGACAUCCAGAGAACUUUCCAGAGAUGGAUUGGUGCCUUCGGGAGCUCUGAGACAGGUGCUGCAUGGCUGUCGUCAGCUCGUGUUGUGAAAUGUUGGGUUAAGUCCCGCAACGAGCGCAACCCUUAUCCUUGUUUGCCAGCACAUAAUGGUGGGAACUCCAGGGAGACUGCCGGUGAUAAACCGGAGGAAGGUGGGGACGACGUCAAGUCAUCAUGGCCCUUACGAGUAGGGCUACACACGUGCUACAAUGGCAGAUACAGAGGGCAGCGAAGCUGCGAAGUGGAGCGAAUCCCUUAAAGUCUGUCGUAGUCCGGAUUGGAGUCUGCAACUCGACUCCAUGAAGUCGGAAUCGCUAGUAAUCGUGGAUCAGAAUGCCACGGUGAAUACGUUCCCGGGCCUUGUACACACCGCCCG